rnacentral:tRNA from 1 species
GCGCCGGUGGUGUAAGGCGAACAUCGCUGCCCGGAAAGCAGAAGAUGCGGGUUCGAGUCCUGCCUGACGUA